CAGUCGCCGCGGGAAUACGGAGGGUGCAAGCGUUAAUCGGAAUUACUGGGCGUAAAGCGCACGCAGGCGGUCUGCCAAGUCAGAUGUGAAAUCCCCGGGCUUAACCUGGGAACUGCAUUUGAAACUGGCAGGCUAGAGUCUUGUAGAGGGGGGUAGAAUUCCAGGUGUAGCGGUGAAAUGCGUAGAGAUCUGGAGGAAUACCGGUGGCGAAGGCGGCCCCCUGGACAAAGACUGACGCUCAGGUGCGAAAGCGUGGGGAGCAAACAGGAUUAGAUACCCGCGUAGUCCCUGUCUCUUAUAC
rnacentral:rRNA from 1 species